CAGUGAAGAGGGCGCAGCCUUGCUCCGCCCUGCCGCGUGAGCGACGAAGGCCUUAGGGUCGUAAAGCCCUCCUGGCGGGGAAGAGAAUGACGGUACCCGCAGAAUAAGCUCCGGCCAACUUCGUGCCAGCAGCCGCGGUAAUACGAAGGGAGCUAGCGUUGUUCGGAAUCACUGGGCGUAAAGCGCACGUAGGCGGAUGUGUCAGUCAGGGGUGAAAUCCCGGAGCUCAACUUCGGAACUGCCCUUGAUACAGCACGUCUCGAGUCCGAGAGAGGUGAGUGGAAUUCCUAGUGUAGAGGUGAAAUUCGUAGAUAUUAGGAAGAACACCAGUGGCGAAGGCGGCUCACUGGCUCAGUACUGACGCUGAGGUGCGAAAG
rnacentral:rRNA from 1 species